GCGCGAGUAGCUCAAUUGGAUAGAGUGGCGGCCUCCGAAGCCGUAGGUUGUGGGUUCAACUCCCGCCUCGCGCACCA
rnacentral:tRNA from 1 species